GGCCUUGUAGAGAAAUGGUAACUCGCUGGAUUCCUACAAAGAGAGUUUAAGAUCCAGAGACUCUGGGUUCGAGUCCCAGCAAGGUCG